rnacentral:rRNA from 1 species
GAUGAACGCUGGCGGCGUGCCUAAUACAUGCAAGUCGAGCGAACAGAUGAGGAGCUUGCUCCUCUGACGUUAGCGGCGGACGGGUGAGUAACACGUGGAUAACCUACCUAUAAGACUGGGAUAACUUCGGGAAACCGGAGCUAAUACCGGAUGAUAUAUUGAACCGCAUGGUUCAAUAGUGAAAGACGGUCUUGCUGUCACUUAUAGAUGGAUCCGCGCCGCAUUAGCUAGUUGGUAAGGUAACGGCUUACCAAGGCAACGAUGCGUAGCCGACCUGAGAGGGUGAUCGGCCACACUGGAACUGAGACACGGUCCAGACUCCUACGGGAGGCAGCAGUAGGGAAUCUUCCGCAAUGGGCGAAAGCCUGACGGAGCAACGCCGCGUGAGUGAUGAAGGUCUUCGGAUCGUAAAACUCUGUUAUUAGGGAAGAACAAAUGUGUAAGUAACUAUGCACGUCUUGACGGUACCUAAUCAGAAAGCCACGGCUAACUACGUG